rnacentral:rRNA from 1 species
GGAAAGGCGCGCGAUACAGGGUGACAGCCCCGUACACAAAAAUGCACAUGCUGUGAGCUCGAUGAGUAGGGCGGGACACGUGGUAUCCUGUCUGAAUAUGGGGGGACCAUCCUCCAAGGCUAAAUACUCCUGACUGACCGAUAGUGAACCAGUACCGUGAGGGAAAGGCGAAAAGAACCCCGGCGAGGGGAGUGAAAAAGAACCUGAAACCGUGUACGUACAAGCAGUGGGAGCACGCUUAGGCGUGUGACUGCGUACCUUUUGUAUAAUGGGUCAGCGACUUAUAUUCUGUAGCAAGGUUAACCGAAUAGGGGAGCCGAAGGGAAACCGAGUCUUAACUGGGCGUUAAGUUGCAGGGUAUAGACCCGAAACCCGGUGAUCUAGCCAUGGGCAGGUUGAAGGUUGGGUAACACUAACUGGAGGACCGAACCGACUAAUGUUGAAAAAUUAGCGGAUGACUUGUGGCUGGGGGUGAAAGGCCAAUCAAACCGGGAGAUAGCUGGUUCUCCCCGAAAGCUAUUUAGGUAGCGCCUCGUGAAUUCAUCUCCGGGGGUAGAGCACUGUUUCGGCAAGGGGGUCAUCCCGACUUACCAACCCGAUGCAAACUGCGAAUACCGGAGAAUGUUAUCACGGGAGACACACGGCGGGUGCUAACGUCCGUCGUGAAGAGGGAAACAACCCAGACCGCCAGCUAAGGUCCCAAAGUCAUGGUUAAGUGGGAAACGAUGUGGGAAGGCCCAGACAGCCAGGAUGUUGGCUUAGAAGCAGCCAUCAUUUAAAGAAAGCGUAAUAGCUCACUGGUCGAGUCGGCCUGCGCGGAAGAUGUAACGGGGCUAAACCAUGCACCGAAGCUGCGGCAGCGACGCUUAUGCGUUGUUGGGUAGGGGAGCGUUCUGUAAGCCUGUGAAGGUGUGCUGUGAGGCAUGCUGGAGGUAUCAGAAGUGCGAAUGCUGACAUAAGUAACGAUAAAGCGGGUGAAAAGCCCGCUCGCCGGAAGACCAAGGGUUCCUGUCCAACGUUAAUCGGGGCAGGGUGAGUCGACCCCUAAGGCGAGGCCGAAAGGCGUAGUCGAUGGGAAACAGGUUAAUAUUCCUGUACUUGGUGUUACUGCGAAGGGGGGACGGAGAAGGCUAUGUUGGCCGGGCGACGGUUGUCCCGGUUUAAGCGUGUAGGCUGGUUUUCCAGGCAAAUCCGGAAAAUCAAGGCUGAGGCGUGAUGACGAGGCACUACGGUGCUGAAGCAACAAAUGCCCUGCUUCCAGGAAAAGCCUCUAAGCAUCAGGUAACAUCAAAUCGUACCCCAAACCGACACAGGUGGUCAGGUAGAGAAUACCAAGGCGCUUGAGAGAACUCGGGUGAAGGAACUAGGCAAAAUGGUGCCGUAACUUCGGGAGAAGGCACGCUGAUAUGUAGGUGAAGUCCCUCGCGGAUGGAGCUGAAAUCAGUCGAAGAUACCAGCUGGCUGCAACUGUUUAUUAAAAACACAGCACUGUGCAAACACGAAAGUGGACGUAUACGGUGUGACGCCUGCCCGGUGCCGGAAGGUUAAUUGAUGGGGUCAGCGCAAGCGAAGCUCUUGAUCGAAGCCCCGGUAAACGGCGGCCGUAACUAUAACGGUCCUAAGGUAGCGAAAUUCCUUGUCGGGUAAGUUCCGACCUGCACGAAUGGCGUAAUGAUGGCCAGGCUGUCUCCACCCGAGACUCAGUGAAAUUGAACUCGCUGUGAAGAUGCAGUGUACCCGCGGCAAGACGGAAAGACCCCGUGAACCUUUACUAUAGCUUGACACUGAACAUUGAGCCUUGAUGUGUAGGAUAGGUGGGAGGCUUAGAAGUGUGGACGCCAGUCUGCAUGGAGCCGACCUUGAAAUACCACCCUUUAAUGUUUGAUGUUCUAACGUUGACCCGUAAUCCGGGUUGCGGACAGUGUCUGGUGGGUAGUUUGACUGGGGCGGUCUCCUCCUAAAGAGUAACGGAGGAGCACGAAGGUUGGCUAAUCCUGGUCGGACAUCAGGAGGUUAGUGCAAUGGCAUAAGCCAGCUUGACUGCGAGCGUGACGGCGCGAGCAGGUGCGAAAGCAGGUCAUAGUGAUCCGGUGGUUCUGAAUGGAAGGGCCAUCGCUCAACGGAUAAAAGGUACUCCGGGGAUAACAGGCUGAUACCGCCCAAGAGUUCAUAUCGACGGCGGUGUUUGGCACCUCGAUGUCGGCUCAUCACAUCCUGGGGCUGAAGUAGGUCCCAAGGGUAUGGCUGUUCGCCAUUUAAAGUGGUACGCGAGCUGGGUUUAGAACGUCGUGAGACAGUUCGGUCCCUA